AUUGAACGCUGGCGGAAUGCUUUACACAUGCGAGUCGAGCGGCAGCACGGGGGCAACCCUGGUGGCGAGCGGCGAACGGGUGAGUAAUACAUCGGAACAUGCCCAGUCGUGGGGGAUAACACUUCGAAAGAAGUGCUAAUACCGCAUACGUCCUGAGGCGGAAAGCGGGGGAUCGCAAGACCUCGCGCGAUUGGAGUGGCCGAUGUCAGAUUAGCUAGUUGGUGGGGUAAAGGCCUACCAAGGCAACGAUCUGUAGCUGGUCUGAGAGGAUGAUCAGCCACGCUGGGACUGAGACACGGCCCAGACUCCUACGGGAGGCAGCAGUGGGGAAUUUUGGACAAUGGGGGCAACCCCGAUCCAGCCAUUCCGCGUGAGUGAAGAAGGCCUUCGGGUUGUAAAGCUCUUUCGGCAGGAACGAAACGGUGAGCUCUAACAUAGCUUGCUAAUGACGGUACCUGAAUAAGAAGCACCGGCUAACUACGUG
rnacentral:rRNA from 1 species